ensembl:snRNA U6 U6 spliceosomal RNA
GUGCUUACUUUGUUAGCACAUGUACUAAAAUCAGAAUGAUACAGAGAAGAUUAUCCUGGGCCCUGUGCAAGGAUGAUAUGCUAAUUUGUGAAGCAUUCUAUAUUAUA